CAGGAAAUAUUUGAGAAGACACCUUGAGCCGAGAAAGCCAUAAAAUUGAGACUGAUAGAUAAAGACCCAACAAACACUGACAUUCACAGCCUUGGAUUUUACGGAGAUCUCUUUGGGAGUAUAUUGUGAUCCCGGCCGGCCUCUCUUUCUCUUUUUCUCCCCUUCUGUCCUCUGUCCCCUUCCUCCCUUUCUCUGCCUCCCUCCCCUUUUCCAGGUCCCUGCUCCCCUUCCUUCCUACAAUAAACCUCCUUUUAUACUAGGCCUGUCGCAUGCCAUCAUUUCUCAGAAGACACCUCAGGAGCAGAAUAAGUAGAGAUUCUGAGAUCGAGUCGCAGCUGCUGAGUCCCCGCAGUACCGGGUGGCGGAAGGGAAAGGAAACGUCAGACAGGAUCGUGAGAGAACUCUCUACCGCCGUCUAGAGGACUACGCGGGUAUCAUUUGCCUCUGCUGGGAAAGCUUCAGUCUUAGGAUUCUGUUACAGUUGGUCCAACACUUAGGAAGUAUUAAAAUAUUAAGUGGUCAUCUGAGGAGAUGGCUCGGGAGAUAAAGGCGUUUGCUGCUAAGCCUCCUGACCUGAGUUCAAUCCCUGGAAUCCACGUACAGAACUGACUCCGGAAAAUUGUCCUCUCUUGUUCUCUACACACACACACACACACACACACACACACACACACACACACUCACACACACACUACAUAAUGGUUUAGAGCUAAGAUGGCAAUUUUUUAUAAGAUGGCAGCCAAACA
rnacentral:lncRNA from 1 species